UACGAAGGGAGCUAGCGUUGUUCGGAAUUACUGGGCGUAAAGGGCGCGUAGGCGGCUUGGCAAGUUGGAUGUGAAAGCCCAGGGCUCAACCCUGGAAUUGCAUUCAAGACUGCCUUGCUUGAAUUCGGUAGAGGUUGGUGGAAUUCCCAGUGUAGAGGUGAAAUUCGUAGAGAUUGGGAAGAACACCCGUGGCGAAGACGGCCAACUGGACCGACAUUGACGCUGAGGCGCGAAAGCGUGGGGAGCAAACAGG
rnacentral:rRNA from 1 species